rnacentral:rRNA from 1 species
UACGAAGGGGACUAGCGUUGUUCGGAAUUACUGGGCGUAAAGCGCGUGUAGGCGGCUAUGUAAGUCGGGCGUGAAAUCCCACGGCUCAACCGUGGAAGUGCACCCGAAACUGCGUAGCUAGAGUCCUGGAGAGGAAGGUGGAAUGCUUGGUGUAGAGGUGAAAUUCGUAGAUAUCAAGCGGAACACCGGUGGCGAAGGCGGCCUUCUGGACAGUGACUGACGCUGAGACGCGAAAGCGUGGGGAGCAAACAGG